rnacentral:misc_RNA from 1 species
GGAAACAGCUCUCCUGAGGAUGAAGAUACAGCAGUCUUCUGUCUGGAAUUGUUGAUUGCCAUUACCCUGAAUAACCGAGAUAGAAUUGUGCUUCUUUGGCCUGGUGUGUAUGAUCAUAUAUCUAACAUUGUGCAGUCAACUGUCAUGCCCUGUGCCCUGGUGGAGAAAGCUGUUUUUGGACUACUCCGGAUCUGCCAGCGCUUGCUUCCUUA